rnacentral:rRNA from 1 species
AACGAACGCUGGCGGCAUGCCUAACACAUGCAAGUCGAACGAGACCUUCGGGUCUAGUGGCGCACGGGUGCGUAACGCGUGGGAACCUGCCCUUAGGUUCGGAAUAACUCCCCGAAAGGGGUGCUAAUACCGGAUAAUGUCUUCGGACCAAAGAUUUAUCGCCUUUGGAUGGGCCCGCGUUGGAUUAGCUAGUUGGUAGGGUAAAAGCCUACCAAGGCGACGAUCCAUAGCUGGUCUGAGAGGAUGAUCAGCCACACUGGGACUGAGACACGGCCCAGACUCCUACGGGAGGAAGCAGUGGGGAAUAUUGGACAAUGGGCGAAAGCCUGAUCAAGCAAUGCCGCGUGAGUGAUGAAGGCCUUAGGGUUGUAAAGCUCUUUUACCCGGGAUGAUAAUGACAGUACCGGGAGAAUAAGCUCCGGCUAACUCCGUG